UACAGAGGGUGCAAGCGUUAAUCGGAAUGACUGGGCGUAAAGGGCGCGUAGGUGGUUGAUUAAGUUGGAUGUGAAAUCCCUGGGCUUAACCUAGGAACUGCAUUCAAUACUGGUCAACUUGAGUAUGGGAGAGGGUAGUGGAAUUUCCGGUGUAGCGGUGAAAUGCGUAGAUAUCGGAAGGAACAUCAGUGGCGAAGGCGACUGCCUGGCCCAAUACUGACACUGAGGCGCGAAAGCGUGGGUAGCGAACAGG
rnacentral:rRNA from 1 species